rnacentral:ncRNA from 1 species
CUCUUAUCCAGAGAGGUGGAGGGACUGGCCCUUUGAAACCUCGGCAACCAUCGUUUAAAAGCGAACUGGUGCCAAUUCCAGCAAAGCCUGUGCUUUGAAAAGAUGAGAG